rnacentral:rRNA from 1 species
UGCCAGCCGCCGCGGAAAUACGUAAGUCGCAAGCGUUGUCCGGAUUUACUGGGCGUAAAGAACGCGUAGGCGGUUAUUUAAGUUGGAGGUGAAAUCUUGAGGCUCAACCUCAAGCCUGCCUUCAAAACUGAAUAACUAGAGUUUCGGAGAGGAAGAUGGUAUUCCAUGUGUAGCGGUGAAAUGCGUAGAUAUAUGGGAGAACACCAAUGGCGAAAGCAGUCUUCUGGACGAACACUGACGCUGAGGCGUGAAAGCGUGGGUAGCGUACAGGAUUAGAUA